UUUUCUGGUCUGGUCAGAUUCCUCUGAUGAAGAUCCUCCAGUUGUGGGUGUGGUGUGAAACUAUACCCCUGUAAUCUUAUAAUCUUGUAAACCACUAUUAAAUCACUAAUAAAAUGUUUUUUUUAGAAAAAAAAAAAGAGAAAAAGAAAACCCCCAAUUUGCAGCUGGCAAAAAAGAAAAGAAAAGAAAAAAAAAAACACCUCACUUGGAUGGUGUGCUUGCUUUGCUAUGUAUACAAUCCAUGUUGGGUCUGGCCCCUACCUCAUUGGAGGAAGUUUUGGUGCUGCAGUUUCUCUCUCUCUCUCUCUCUCUCUCUCACAGAAAAUGUAAUCCUGGAGCAGUGAAACAACUUAUAUGAAAAAGAAAAGACCUCCAAUUUCCUACCCAGAGAAUCUGUGUUUGGUAGUCAGUUUUCUGGGGGGUCAUGAGGGGCAGAGGGCUCAGCACACAUGCCUGCCCAUUAAUACUAGGUGGUGACAACAAGAUUCUUGCACACUUCAAAUGGGGGAUUAUUCUGGGUUCUCAAGGAAAUCUGAGCCACCUGUUUCAGUCACCUCAUAGUGACUUAGUGGGAUGAUGGAGGGCGCCGCCCCGCCUGCUGUCAAUCAACGACCCCCCCUGCCCCGCCCACCGUCCUGGCCUGCGGAGGCAAUUUGCAUCAGCAGUUGGAGGCCCAGGCUGGGCUGUCCUCAUUGCCUGUGGCUUGGCCUUGGCCUGGGCCAGAGCAGCAGCUGCCAUCUAUCUGCCUGCGGAGAACUUUCCAGAUCCACAGCAGGUUGGCUCUCCGCCCCGGGGUCGGGCUGCCCAGUCUGGAGCUGUUUGUCAUGGAUAGCCGAAUGCUGUGGGGUCACCUUGAGGAACCAGCAAGUUGCAGAUGCUACCAUGAUGCCAACCUGGCUCCCCUGGACAGAGGAUCUCACCAGUGUACCCUGGAACCUCACCUCUCCAGAGCUCUGCCCCACCAGAGAAAGAGAAAGACAGGCUGGGAGUAUGGAUCGACCUGCCAACACCCAUGUUCAAAUGCAGAAGCCAGACUUUUUGCCUUCUGCACCCCAUAAUGAUCCUGUGUCCAUGCUCCCGGAGGGAUAAAGAAUAGGAAAGUUUUCAAGGGAGGGGAUGGGAUUCUAAACUCUGGUGGUGGAAAUUUUGUGGAAUUGUACCCUUCUUAUCCUAUAGUCUUGUUGAUAUUUUUUACUUUAUAAAUAACAAAAAAUAAUAAUAAAUAAAUAAAUAAAUGAAAGAGAGAGACACUGCAGGAGGGGGAGAGGAAGACUCUGACCUUGGCUAACCUCAUCUUCAUCAAGCUAACCUCAACUAUAGGCAAGCAUGGACUUCAGAAAGGAGUCCUGGUAACAGGCUAGAACAGUGGUCUGCAUAACAAGUUUCUGAGGCAGAAGAGCAGGAACUUGUUAGAAAUGCAGCUUCUCAGAGCAGGGUGGUGAUGCACCUGGUUGAGUGCAAACACUACCAUGUUCAAGGACCCAGGUUCAAAUCUCCACUCCCCACUUCCAGGGGGAAGCUUCACAAGUGAUGAAGCAGUGUUAUAGGUAUCUCUCUUUCUCUAACCCACCCCCCAUCCCCUCUCAAUUUUUCUCUGUCCUAUCAAAUUAAAAGAAAAAGAAAAAGAAAUAGCCUCUGGAAGUGAUGGAUUCAUAAUGUAGGCACUUAGCCCCAGCAGUAACCCUGGCAACAAUAAAAUAAUAAUAUUAAUAAUGAUGAUGAUGAUGAAAUACAGAUCUUUAGUCUGUAUCCUAUAGCCACUGAAUCAGAAACUCUGGGGGAUGGUGCCAUCUUCUUUGUUCCUUUAAAUGACCUUCCCACUGGGUGCAGUUGGAGAACCAUUGAUCUAACUUAGCCUGGCCCUUUGAAGGGUGGGGAGAGGUAGAUCUAGGCUAGGGAGAUGGGGUCACAAUAGCAUGUUCUUUAUCACUCAGUCUGUUGAGAAAGACCCAGGACAGGGUUUGCCUGGCUAGCUGACUUUCUGCCACUGCUUCUUCUGCCAGUCCACAUAGGACAAGGCUGUGAGCUUUUUUUUUUCUAUUUUAUUUUAUUUCAUGUUAUUUUCUUUUAUUUUACCAGAGCACUGCUCAGCUCUGGCUUAUGAUGGUGCACAGGAUUAAAGGCUGUGACCUUUGAACUGCCACUGACUGCCACAGUUGAACUGGUCACCUCUCUGUCAGAUGUGCUUGAGCCUUCACUGACCAAAACCCAGCUGCAGGUGAACUCUUCUUCUAGCGUUUGCCCUUCUUCCGUAGCCAGUCAACAGCAUCAGGUUGAACCUGAUGUAAAGUUUCGAGAACUAUUCCCAUUCUUCUCUACAUCCUUGUCCUCCUCUUUCUCUUUCUUCUCAUCUUCCUUCUUCACCUCCUCCUUUUCCUUUCCUUCCUCCUCUUUCUUUUUCCUAUCUUUCUUCUGUUUAUUUAUUCAUGAGUGGGAGGAGUGGGGGUGGGAGGGGGACAUGGAAUCAGAGUAUCACUCUGGCACAAAUGAUGCCAGGAAUUAAACUCAGGGCCUCAUGCUUGAGAGUCCCAAUGCCCCCAUCUACUGGGUCAUAUCCUGAGCUGCACCACACCCCUUCCUAUGGAGACAUAUUGGUCAGUCAGGUUUUGGCUCUUUGGUCAAUGUUGUGGCUAAGACUGAGAAAAGAAUUAUCUUUGACUUUAAGACAAGACCAGGUCCCUCACCCAUUGAAUUAGCUAAGUUCUGGUUCCUGCCUGCCUCAUUCUGCCCCCACUGAGUAAACGAGAUGCUCUGCCAUCUGUGACAGUGCUAUGGUCUUGACUAUUGGUCCAGGAGAGACCUCCUGACUGAGGGGAGCUGAGAAGACA